rnacentral:rRNA from 1 species
AGAGUUUGAUCCUGGCUCAGAGUGAACGCUGGCGGCAGGCCUAACACAUGCAAGUCGAACGGCAGCACAGUAAGAGCUUGCUCUUAUAGGUGGCGAGUGGCGGACGGGUGAGGAAUACAUCGGAAUCUACUCUUUCGUGGGGGAUAACGUAGGGAAACUUACGCUAAUACCGCAUACGACCUACGGGUGAAAGCGGAGGACCUUCGGGCUUCGCGCGGUUGAAUGAGCCGAUGUCGGAUUAGCUAGUUGGCGGGGUAAAGGCCCACCAAGGCGACGAUCCGUAGCUGGUCUGAGAGGAUGAUCAGCCACACUGGAACUGAGACACGGUCCAGACUCCUACGGGAGGCAGCAGUGGGGAAUAUUGGACAACGGGCGCAAGCCUGAUCCAGCCAUGCCGCGUGGGUGAAGAAGGCCUUCGGGUUGUAAAGCCCUUUUGUUGGGAAAGAAAAGCAGUCGGUUAAUACCCGAUUGUUCUGACGGUACCCAAAGAAUAGCACCCG